AUGCUGUUGCAAAUUGCAGCUGAAUGUGCUUUGAGGGCUGGGUCCUCUGUGUGCAUGAAUUGUGAAGUGUGCCUGCAGUCCAGCCACGUCCUGAGCCCCCACACCAAGUGCAGAUGGAUUGGUUCUUUGGCCAUUACCUCCAAGGUUAGUAACUGUCUGCAGGUUUCUGAUUCCUACGCUUAUUUCUCUUUUUGUCUGAUCCUUUCCAUGACUGAGAUACACGUCUGGGCUUUCACAGAACAGCACAAAUGUUAUUUCAUUCAGCCUACCCUGGACUUGUAACGGCGUUUCCCACUUACGCUAUGACUUGUUAGGCCUCCCCUUACGCUUUACCUGCCUCACUGUUAUCACACAUCAAAGAUAGGGGCUGAGUACUGACUAAAUACAAGGCAUGCUCCAGCUUAUUUCUCUUUAAAGUGCCAGAGGCCAAGUUCUCCCCUCAGACUGGAAGCAUGGCUCCUCUUUGAUCUGACAGGAGCUGUGUGCACAGUACCUGGGGGCACGGAUCAGCUUACGUGUGGUUUCCCUCCUCUCCCUCCCAAUUAUUACAGGAAGCAGCAGCUUUUACAGUGUAAAUGAGACAUUUGAAAGCAGCUGUUGUCAGAAGGUUCUUUCUAAUUCCUUAAUGCAGUCUUGC
rnacentral:lncRNA from 1 species